GAAGGUGACCGGGUCGAUGAAUUAUAAUUAAAGAACCAAGACCCUGUUACAGACUGGGUUAUAAAACAGUUGUAAACCGGAUAGCCUUAUAAAGGUCAUUUCGAAUUGAAAAGUGCAGAAAUAUUUUUCAUAAAAACUUCCAGUUCCAUUUUAUCGGGUUAUUAUUCCGUUUUACAGAUCACUGCUUACGCGGUUGCUUAGAAUUUGCGCAUUUACAAACUUUUUGCUAACCUUGAUGGAAUAAUUACGAUUGUCUAGCGCCUUAGUACAUUAUAAUUGUAUUAAUUAACGUGUGGUUACCUUUUCUUUGCGAAAAUCGGGUCACACAGUUUUAUGUAAUGAGUAGAAAAAAAUUACUUAGUUACUUAUCAAAGAAACAAAAGGAAAACUAUUAGUUAAAUAAAUAAGUUGUUACUAUCAAAUAGAAGAGAUGUUUAGACUGACAACGAAAAAUGAAUGAUCGGCAAAGGAGGAAAGGAUCUGAUUAUUGGUGAAGGUUCUGUAAUAGGAAAAGAAAAAAUCUUAUCAUUGCUAAUAUAUUUGUUAAACUGUCUGAAAGGAGACGUAUCCAAUGCUGGAUACACAGAUAUCAAGAUAAGACUGAGUGUAUAGUAGACCUACCGACCUUAUAGAAAUGCUUUAGAAGAGUAUUGGUCAUCAGACGGCAUGUGAUAUGAGAUAUUUCCUGCUACAAUGGGAAAACAUAGGUACAUCUUAAAAAAGAAAGAAAAAAAGUUGACAAACUAGCAGCAGUUCGUACUAUUGUUGACAAGUCCAAUGAAAAUUGUAAGAUAACUUAUUCAGUAAGCGAGUAUAUGACUUUAUGAAAUGCUGCUUGCCUUUAGGGAAAUCUAUGCUGGAGUUCAACCUGAUGCCUCAUACAAAUCUGACAAUUCUACCGCUACAAUAACAGAAAAAAUGUCAUAUUUAUCAGGUGCAGGAAGAAAUGUUACUAUGGAAUAUCGGAUCGCAAAAAAUCCGAAAUAUUUACUUUUUACAAUAGGACAAAAAGUGGAGUUGAUGUUAUUGAUCGAAUGAUCACGUCACAUAAUGUUGCUAGAAAUACAAAACGUUGGCCAAUGGUAGUUUUUUAUAACCUACUCAAUAUAGCAGCAAUCAAUGCUUCUGUUAUUUACAAAAACAGUAGACCUGAUGGUGAAUUUGUCAAAACUAGUAGAUUAUUCCAAAAGAAUCUCGGUAUGGAAUUAGUGCAGGAUAACAUGCGAAGAAGAACCGUCGAUAAGCACAUAACCUUAACAUCGCCACUGUCAAACCCAGGAAUAUUUUAAGACUUGCCCGUAGCAGCAUUGGUGUCUUUACUGGGCACUGCCGAUUAAAAGCACACCUCAACUUGUUGCCGACGAUGUUGAAUGCCGACUAUGUGCGGAGGAAGCAGAGACGGUUGAGCAUGUUUUAUGCCACUGCCCUGCCUUUAACGGUAUCAGAUUCUUGAUUUUUGGGUCGCAGUUUA